GUCUCAGGCCGUAUCAGCCUGAAGGCGCCCGAUCUCGUCUGAUCUCGGGAGCUAAGCAGGGUCGGGCCUGGUUAGGAUCUUGGAUGGGAGACCACCUGGGAAUCCCGGGUGCUCGAGGCU
rnacentral:rRNA from 1 species